rnacentral:rRNA from 1 species
UACGUAGGGCGCAAGCGUUGUCCGGAAUUAUUGGGCGUAAAGAGCUCGUAGGCGGUUUGUCGCGUCUGCUGUGAAAACCUAAGGCUCAACCUUGGGCUUGCAGUGGGUACGGGUAGACUAGAGUGCGGUAGGGGUGACUGGAAUUCCUGGUGUAGCGGUGGAAUGCGCAGAUAUCAGGAGGAACACCGAUGGCGAAGGCAGGUCACUGGGCCGCAACUGACGCUGAGGAGCGAAAGCAUGGGGAGCGAACAGG